ACAUGCAGUCGAGCGGUAGCACAGAGAGCUUGCUCUCGGGUGACGAGCGGCGGACGGGUGAGUAAUGUCUGGGAAACUGCCUGAUGGAGGGGGAUAACUACUGGAAACGGUAGCUAAUACCGCAUAACGUCGCAAGACCAAAGUGGGGGACCUUCGGGCCUCAUGCCAUCAGAUGUGCCCAGAUGGGAUUAGCUAGUAGGUGGGGUAAUGGCUCACCUAGGCGACGAUCCCUAGCUGGUCUGAGAGGAUGACCAGCCACACUGGAACUGAGACACGGUCCAGACUCCUACGGGAGGCAGCAGUGGGGAAUAUUGCACAAUGGGCGCAAGCCUGAUGCAGCCAUGCCGCGUGUAUGAAGAAGGCCUUCGGGUUGUAAAGUACUUUCAGCGAGGAGGAAGGCGUUAAGGUUAAUAACCUUGGCGAUUGACGUUACUCGCAGAAGAAGCACCGGCUAACUCCGUGCCAGCAGCCGCGGUAAUACGGAGGGUGCAGCGUUAAUCGGAAUUACUGGGCGUAAAGCGCACGCAGGCGGUCUGUCAAGUCGGAUGUGAAAUCCCCGGGCUCAACCUGGGAACUGCAUUCGAAACUGGCAGGCUAGAGUCUUGUAGAGGGGGGUAGAAUUCCAGGUGUAGCGGUGAAAUGCGUAGAGAUCUGGAGGAAUACCGGUGGCGAAGGCGGCCCCCUGGACAAAGACUGACGCUCAGGUGCGAAAGCGUGGGGAGCAAACAGGAUUAGAUACCCUGGUAGUCCACGCCGUAAACGAUGUCGACUUGGAGGUUGUGCCCUUGAGGCGUGGCUUCCGGAGCUAACGCGUUAAGUCGACCGCCUGGGGAGUACGGCCGCAAGGUUAAAACUCAAAUGAAUUGACGGGGGCCCGCACAAGCGGUGGAGCAUGUGGUUUAAUUCGAUGCAACGCGAAGAACCUUACCUACUCUUGACAUCCAGAGAACUUAGCAGAGAUGCUUUGGUGCCUUCGGGAACUCUGAGACAGGUGCUGCAUGGCUGUCGUCAGCUCGUGUUGUGAAAUGUUGGGUUAAGUCCCGCAACGAGCGCAACCCUUAUCCUUUGUUGCCAGCGAUUCGGUCGGGAACUCAAAGGAGACUGCCAGUGAUAAACUGGAGGAAGGUGGGGAUGACGUCAAGUCAUCAUGGCCCUUACGAGUAGGGCUACACACGUGCUACAAUGGCAUAUACAAAGAGAAGCGACCUCGCGAGAGCAAGCGGACCUCAUAAAGUAUGUCGUAGUCCGGAUUGGAGUCUGCAACUCGACUCCAUGAAGUCGGAAUCGCUAGUAAUCGUAGAUCAGAAUGCUACGGUGAAUACGUUCCCGGCCUUGUACACACCGCCCGUCACACCAUGGGAGUGGGUUGCAAAAGAAGUAGGUAGCUUAACCUUCGGGAGGGCG
rnacentral:rRNA from 1 species